UACGAAGGGUGCAAGCGUUAAUCGGAAUUACUGGGCGUAAGGCGUGCGCAGGCGGCUUUGCAAGACAGAUGUGAAAUCCCCGGGCUCAACCUGGGAACUGCAUUUGUGACUGCAAGGCUAGAGUACGGCAGAGGGGGAUGGAAUUCCGCGUGUAGCAGUGAAAUGCGUAGAUAUGCGGAGGAACACCAAUGGCGAAGGCAAUCCCCUGGGCCUGUACUGACGCUCAUGCACGAAAGCGUGGGGAGCAAACAGG
rnacentral:rRNA from 1 species